UAUUGUCGAUAAUGUAACAAGUAAAGUCAGGUGUUCUUUUUUAAAAACGUGUGUAGUGCACUCACUGAGUGGCGGGGAGAUGUUUGGGCUUUAGCUGUCACAACCUUGGCUGUUUAAUCACACCACGAACGCAACAAAUAGAGACAUUGGCAUAGACGCGGUUUACGGAUAUCUUUACGCUUCCGGUGGAAGAGGCUUUUCAAAUUCUUGGCGCUUGUCUGUUGGUUAGUGAUCCUUCAUCUGGCAUAUUGUAAUCUAGAUUUACUUUAUCAUUACUGUAUCUGAUGCAAAUAUGAAAAACGUCUUCUAUUGAUUCAAGAGUUUCUGAAGAAGAUUCAUAAUGGCGACUGAUGUCUGCAACCAUGUCAAGGUGGUUGUACGAGUCAGGCCAUUCAACAGCAAAGAAAAGGGUGACGAUAUGAGGAAGGUUGUCCAUGUUGUGGAUGGCCGCAUGUUGAUAUUUGACCCCAAGGAAAACCACAUUUCAUCUUUUGGAAUACCCAAAGUACAAAAGAGGAAAGUCAGGGUGGUUAACAAAGACCUCAAAUUUGUGUUGACAACGUUUUUGGAGAAG